AUGAGAAAUCCUGCUGAUGCUCCUAAACCUUAUCAAUGGAUAUGGAAGUCAUGUUCCCUUCCCAAACAGAAAUUCUUCUUCUGGCUUCUGUUACAAGACAGAUUAAAUACUAGAGACUUACUUAACAGGAAGAAUUUCUAUAUUGAGACAAGUAAGUGUGUGUUAUGUGAUGAUGAACCUAAUGAACAUCUAAUGCACCUCCUUUUUAGCUGCGAUUUCAGCCAAAACUUCUGGAUGAACAUUGGCUACCAAUGGGACACUGAUUAUAACCUCAUAGAAAUGCUCCUGGAGGGUAGGAAGCAGAAUACCUCUGGUUGUUUUAAAGAUUGUCUGAUUGCUGGAUGCUGGAGUUUAUGGAAGCACAGAAAUAGCAUCAUCUUUGAUCACAAGGUCAAGAAUAUGGCAUAUUGUCUAGCCAUAUUCAAGGAACACUUCAGCAUGAUCAUAAAGAAAGCAAAACCUGGAUUGAAGGAGGGCAUGCAAAGUUGGCUAAAUUAUUUGUGGACACUUUGUUUUAUUUUCCCUCUUUUCCUCCACCAUGUACAUUCAUCUGUAAUUGUUCCAUAUUAUAAAUGA
rnacentral:rRNA from 1 species